GCUCCCUCUGCAGUGUCUGCUUGGACAUUCUGACUUUUUCCCGUACCACCUCUCCUUGCUUACUUCUGUGCAUUUCUACGCUCUCUUUUUCUUCCUACCCGGAGAUCUGUUUAUCCUGUCUCAGCAACAUUCUGCUUUACCUCAUGCGACUUUGUAGCCCUUACUGCUCCGUCCCCUCCCCCUCUCUCCUCCUAUUCAUUUGGCUGUCCUGGGUCUCAGUCGUGACGCGGGACCUUUGAUCUUCACUGCAUCACAUGAGCUUGCCCUUGCAGUCUGUGAACUCUUAAUGCGGCGUGUGGGAUCUCGUUCCCUGACCGGGGAUUGAACCCAGGCCCCCUGCAUUGGGAGCGUGGAGUCGUAGCCACCGGGCCACCAAGGAAGUCCCCGUGUCGCUCUUUAACUUGUCGCGGAACCUGGUUUUUUGUUGGCUCGACAGGCAGCAGAACUGCAAAAAGCCCCAACAUGCUAUUUUGGGAAAACCAAGUAAUUCUGCAGUCCUGAGUAUUCUAAGAUCCAGACGUGCCUUUCCAUCUGGGAGGAGAAGGUGCCUGUUCGGCAUGUAAACACAGAAUUCAAAGCCUCCAUAGAGAGACUGGGGUUUGCAAGAUUCGAAGCCAAUUGUGAUCGUCACGGACUGACUCAUCACACCUCUGCACACAAGCUGGAAUUUUGUCCCAGGCCACAGGCUCGGGAAAGGCUGUUGUGACUGCCGGGGAGCUCUCUGCCGGGGUUUCCACACCUCCCCCCAGACAAGGCUUGUGUCUCUAAAUCCCUUUUGGGGUGUUGCCACUGAGCCAACUCCAUCCGUCGCUGAGCCUGACUUUCACCCACAAGCGCGUGAAUCAACUGAUACAAAUCUGAAAAGCCCGGCGAGUGGGUCUGAGUGACCCCCUUAAAUUCAUCAGUGCAUCUGUGGGGUCUUCCGGUGCUUUUGGAAAAUCCUGAACCACAGCUCGUGCUUCUGGCCACAGCGUGUGGCUCGGCUCAGUCCAGUUCAAGAGGCUGAGAGACUUCAGGGCUGAUGCUUGAAAGAAGCUUUUCAGGGAGAUAAAGUGGAGUUGAACACGUGAGGGUUGAUAUGCACAGAACAGAGGCUUUUGCUUUCUUUGUCCUUUUCAUGGCGGCAGGAGGGGUACCACUCACUGUAAGAGCAUGUAUCUGCCCCUGCAGAGUUCCAGUCCGUUAUGUAAAGUAGUCUUUCUGCCAACCACCCCAGCCUGAAGCUCGACACAGUAACUAGACUAGCUAUUGUACAACUAUCUUUAAGACAACUUUGUCAGCUGAUUUAUUUUAAAAAGGUUAUUUUUAAAUCCCGUUCUUUUGACUAAAGAUUGUAUGUUUCCAAGAAUCCUUUGAAAAACUUCCGUCGUGAUGCUUACAGUUUUUUUCUAUAAUAGAUCGUUUUGGUGAUUAAGUUUGUCCCCUCUGACAGAAAACACAUCAGUGAAUUCCUAAGGUUCAGGGGGGAGUUUUUUGCAUAGGGUUUUAGGUACGGGGGCUACAGAGGAAAUCAGUCCUGCAUAUUCACUGGAAGGACUGAUGCUGAAGCUGAAACUCCAAUACUUUGGCCACCUGAUGGGAAGAACUGACUCACUGGAAAAGACCCUGAUGCUGGGAAAGAUUGAGGGCAGGAGGAGAAGGGGAUGACAGAGGAUGAGAGGGUUGGAUGGCAUCACCAACUCGAUGGGCAUGAGUUUGAGUAAGCUCUGGGAGUUGGUGAUGGACAGGGAGGCCUGACGUGGUGUGGUCCAUGGAGUCACAAAGAGUCAGACACAACUGAGCGACUGAACUGAACUGAACUACAGAGCUGUUCUACACUGAGAUUAUGGUGAUGAUUGCGUUUGUCAAACUUCACGGAGACUUUUAGGGAAUGUAAAUUCUACUUCAAUAAACGUGACCUUAAAACUUUAAAGAAAACA
rnacentral:lncRNA from 1 species